rnacentral:misc_RNA from 1 species
UCCGGUUUGUCACCGGCAGUUCCAAUAGAGUGCCCUUUCGUAGCAACUAUUGGCAAGGGUUGCGCUCGUUGCGGGACUUAACCCAACAUCUCACGACACGAGCUGACGACAGCCAUGCAGCACCUGUGUCCACUUUCCCUUUCGGGCACCUAAUGCAUCUCUGCUUCGUUAGUGGCAUGUCAAGGGUAGGUAAGGUUUUUCGCGUUGCUUCGAAUUGAACCACAUGCUCCACCGCUUGUGCGGGUCCCCGUCAAUUCCUUUGAGUUUUAAGCUUGCGCUCGUAGUUCCCAGGCGGGCCACUUCCCGCGUUAGCUAAGGCCCCCACGGACGGAGAUUCCGCCCGCAAAGGCCGAGUGGCCAUCGUUUACGGCGUGGACUAC